GACGAACGCUGGCGGCGUGCCUAAUACAUGCAAGUAGAACGCUGAAGAGAGGAGCUUGCUCUUCUUGGAUGAGUUGCGAACGGGUAAGUAACGCGUAGGUAACCUGCCUUGUAGCGGGGGAUAACUAUUGGAAACGAUAGCUAAUACCGCAUAACAAUGGAUGACACAUGUCAUUUAUUUGAAAGGGGCAAUUGCUCCACUACAAGAUGGACCUGCGUUGUAUUAGCUAGUAGGUGAGGUAAUGGCUCACCUAGGCGACGAUACAUAGCCGACCUGAGAGGGUGAUCGGCCACACUGGGACUGAGACACGGCCCAGACUCCUACGGGAGGCAGCAGUAGGGAAUCUUCGGCAAUGGGGGCAACCCUGACCGAGCAACGCCGCGUGAGUGAAGAAGGUUUUCGGAUCGUAAAGCUCUGUUGUAAGUCAAGAACGGGUGUGAGAGUGGAAAGUUCACACUGUGACGGUAGCUUACCAGAAAGGGACGGCUAACUACGU
rnacentral:rRNA from 1 species